rnacentral:rRNA from 1 species
UACGUAGGGUGCAAGCGUUGUCCGGAAUUAUUGGGCGUAAAGAGCUCGUAGGCGGUUUGUCGCGUCUGCUGUGAAACUCAGGGCUUAACCCUGAGCCUGCAGUGGGUACGGGCAGACUAGAGUGUGGUAGGGAGAUCGGAAUUCCUGGUGUAGCGGUGGAAUGCGCAAAUAUCAGGAGGAACACCGGUGGCGAAGGCGGAUCUCUGGGCCAUAACUGACGCUGAGGAGCGAAAGCUGGGAGCAACAGG